CUCCACCGCCCUCCGGCCUGGGCCCGCCUCCACCCAGCCUCUCCGUGGCUCCCCGGGCUGCCCCCGCCCCGCCCCCCCCCCCCCCCCCCCCUCCCCCGCCGUCGCCCCAUCCCCCCAGCCCCCACCCUCGGCUGCUGCCCGAGCUUCCUCCACACGCCGUGCAGUCUCCACGGCGACGCGGCGUCCCAGACUCGGAGCCCAGAGCCCAGCGCGAGCAGCUAGCCGGGCUGGCUCUCGGUGUCUGCCCUUCGGAUGGUCGGCUGGAGAGAGCCGCCAGCUGGACUUCUGUAGACAAGACAGAUACUGUAAAGGUGAGAGUAUAUAAUUUUUUUAGGAUGUUUUGGGUCUAUUUUACCAUCAAUUUGUACAGUUUUUAAAUAAUCAGCUUUAGUAUAAAAUUGUAUUUUAUUCUAGAUAAUAGAAAUGUUUACAUAAAGGCUAUUAGUAAAUUAUUUCAAAUAUCUCAAACUAAAAUAAUAAUGCAAGUUUUUAUUUCUGCUUCUAUUUUAGACAGCAAAGAACAGACAGAAUGGCAGAUUGCUAAUGUCUGAUCCAAAGGGUAAAUGAUUUAUUACUUUGAAAGAAUAUGUUUAGCCACUAUUUUGUCCUAAAUAUUAAGAAGAAUAUUGGAAUGGCGAGUGUCAUUGAAUGACUUAGCAAUUAAAUCCUUUAUUAUUUUGCCUAUCCUUUUAAAAUUCCUAACUAUUUGCCAUUUAGAAAUGUAUGUUAGGGACAUCACUGUUAAUAAAAUACUGAGGGUGUUUUUUUCUCUUUCAGAAAAAGUGACGAUUGAAUCAAAUGAAGCAAUGUCAGAGUAAGAAAAUGUCUUUGAUUGUGCAGCUGAUUUCUCCCAUGCCUUUUAAGCAAUUAGAACUAGAUAAUGCAGCCAUUUGUCACCCAAUUAAAUUUGAAAGGCCAGAAAUGCAUGGAUUAGCACUUCAGCUUUUGCUUCAGUCAAAGCAGUUGUUACUUAGAUAAAAGGACAGUUAAAAUGAAAAAUGAAUUUUGAUAAAAAUGUAGAAGUGUAGAUAAUAUUCACUUCUACUUUUUAAUGCUUAAACACCCUGGAUUCUGUAUUUUACUUGUAUCAUAAUUUUCAUAGCUCAUUCCUAUUUCCCUUUGAUACUUAUUUCUUUCAAAAUAUUUCUUCAAGUGAAUAUUUACUUUAAAAUUAAACCAAUUAUUUUCUGUAACAUGAAUUGUUACUACUCAAUAAAGAAAAUAAUCACCUCAACUAGUUGAAGAAACUGGUGUUAAAAAAAUUACAUCGUUUCCAGCCUUUUGGCUAAGAUCAAGUGUAAAAAAAAAAUCACAGUACAAUAUCAAUUUAGUAACUAAAUGUUAAGUAUCUGCCCUGUUCAAGACUCUGAUUCUGAUAAUCUAUUAAAGCCCUUCCUGUAUUCAUCUCUUACUUUCUGAAAAAAAAAAAUCUCUAUUUAUUCUAUGAAAAAUUACGGCUCGAAAGUUGAUCAUAUACACAUUUGUGAGGAUUACUGACAAAUUAGUAGAUACUGUUCUGGUGGGAUUCUUCUAUUCAAAUUUGUAUUGUUUUGGUUUAUUCUAAAUAUUGGCUGGGAAAAAUUCUACCUUAGGCAGCAUAUAUUUAAAUUUUCAUAUUGUCAAAACUAAAAAUGUCCACCUUGGCUUUUGUUGUAAAUUAUAUAUAUAUUACAUAUUAUAUAAUACUUUUUUUUUAUUAAAGAGAAAGUAAUGUAUAGCAAAUCAGUGACAGAGGACCUUAUUUAUUUUCAUUUAAAGUUACAAUCAACCAGAAAAAAAGAGCCUUGUUACAUAUAGUAAUCUACAUGUAAUUUUAUAUGUAUCCUAUUACAUGGUUGAAAACAUUUAAUAAAAUCUAAAAAAUGUUUAGUUGUCUUUGAGGGAUAUUUGAAAUACAACUUUCAAUAAUAGUAAUAGAAGUUACUAGAUCAUAGAUGAAAAGAAAUUACUGUUGUAUCCAUGACCCCCAAUGUUCUUUGAGUGAUAAGCAGUGUUGGAACUGGAGCAAGGGGUGUUCCACCUCCUGAGGUAGAUAAACCCCAGGGAUAAAUCAGAUGCAGCCUAGGCCAAAAUAGAAAAGCAGAGUGGCUACUUGUUCUCUUGAUCUCAGUCAUAAUUGCAUCUGCCUCUCAAACUGUUUCUUGCAAGGUCAAAAUGAUCAUUUCCCUUCAAUUUGCUUGCAGAGAAGGAGAAGGGUGGACAGUGUAGUCAAUAAGCUUCAUAAGUGUGUAGUUUUGUCACCUCAGGUACUUCACCCCGAGUUGAAGGUAAACAGGGCUAGUCCUAUAGAAAAAAUGAUCAAGUAGGAAAAAACAUCAGGGGAGAUCUUUGCACGGGAAGAGUGUGACUGACCUGCAAAGUUGAUGAAUUUUUUCAGUGUAGCUUCCAUUCCACUCUCCACCUUGCUGCUGGCUUCAUAGUCUGAUUGGCAAGUGAGAUUUGCCAAAAGAUUUCAUUUAGGUUGGGUUAGGGAAAACUCAAAGUUUUUUCAUUGCUUUAGUUUUUGUAUUUUUCACUCCAGUCCCAGCCACAAGAAGUAUGUGGACUCUAUAAACCACGAGUUUCUAACUUCUGGGCGCACAAAUCCCAUAUUUAACAUUUUCUUUUUCCUUAGAAAUCCUAUGUGGGAAAGAUUUUGUCUACCCAGCAAAGUGCUUUUAGUUGACAAACUAUUUUCAGUAGUAGAAAUAAAAUAUGUAUUUAAUGCUGGAUAAAGUUUUCUAGAUUUUGGACCUUACUUGAUUUUUUGGUCAAGCUUUCAAGCAUAAAGAUUGAGGGGAAAAUGGCUGAAGCAAAUCCACAGCACUCAACACUGACUGAGCCUGAAAAAAAUUGUAUCUCUAGGACUUUUCUUACAUAAUCACAUGUUUUAUAACCUUUUCUAAAAUGAAUAACGAGCUAUUUUUUUCUUCCCAUUUUUAUACCUCAAGUAAAUGUCUCUCUGGACACAGACCAAGAUUGACAAGCAAACUUAAUACCCCACCAACACAGAUCUCUCUAAAUGUAGCUAAGACAUUCUCAGAAAAGUAAGUUUUAAUUAAUUUUGUUUUUAGGCCCAUGUUUGACAAGUAUAAAUCAUUUUAUGACAAAGUUUAAAAUAGAAAUCUCCUGAAAAAAUUAUUAAUUUCAAUAGAAGUUUUGGGAUACUUCCUAAAUAUACCCAACACACUGAGGGAAAAAUUCUAAAACUUAGGUUAUCUGCCCUCUAUCAUAAAUAUGUUCCAAUGGAGUGUCUAACCUGAUUAGCUCUGUAAUUUUGUUAAGUACUAAAUUUUGCAUUUCCAAAGGAUAUUACUACAUGAAGUAAAAUUUUAAAUCUUUCCUCAGUUGUAAUUAUAGUUAACAAAAACAGAUCUGUUAUAGUAUACUAGUUAUCUGUUUUUCUUAAAUAGGGGCCUUAUGACCAUAAAUAACAUCACUUUCUCAAAUAGAAGUCAAUAGAUUUUAGGUGAAGAGGAAAUUGACCUUUGGGCCUCUGAUUCUUUGAAAGCUAUGCAAGAAAGACCAUAAGAAGUGAACAGAAGGGCGGGGCGCGUGGCUCAAGCCUGUAUCCAGC
ensembl:lincRNA